rnacentral:rRNA from 1 species
UACGGAGGGUGCAAGCGUUAUCCGGAAUCACUGGGUUUAAAGGGUACGUAGGCGGUUUGUUAAGUCAGUCGUGAAAGUUUGUGGCUCAACCAUAAAAUUGCGAUUGAUACUGGCGAACUAGAAUUUGGUGGAGGCUGGCGGAAUGAGACAAGUAGCGGUGAAAUGCUUAGAUAUGUCUCAGAACACCGAUUGCGAAGGCAGCUGGCUACGCCAAUAUUGACGCUGAGGUACGAAAGUGUGGGUAGCAAACAGG